rnacentral:rRNA from 1 species
UACGGAGGGGGCUAGCGUUGUUCGGAAUUAUUGGGCGUAAAGGGUGCGUAGGCGGUUUUGUAAGUCUUAUGUGAAAUCUACAGGCUCAACUUGUAGUCUGCAUGAGAAACUGCAGGGCUUGAGUAUGGGAGAGGUGAGUGGAAUUCCUGGUGUAGCGGUGAAAUGCGUAGAUAUCAGGAGGAACACCUGUGGCGAAAGCGGCUCACUGGACCAUAACUGACGCUGAUGCACGAAAGCUAGGGGAGCAAACAGG